GACCAUCAGGGUUUUUAAUCGCCGGCUC
rnacentral:sRNA from 1 species